CCCCACUGCUAUCGAGGUGGGACUAAGCCAUGCUAGUCGAACGAACAGAACUAUGUCUGUUAGUGGCAUACUGCUCAGUAACACGUAGCUAACUUACCCUUAGGACGUUUAUAACCCCGAGAAAUUGGGGCUAAUAAGCGAUAGAUGUGAUGUCCUGGAAUGGUAUUACGUCUAAAGGUAUCCCAUACAUGUUUGGUAUACGCCUAAGGAUGGGGCUGCGGCCGAUCAGGCUGUUGGUGAGGUAAUGGCUCACCAAACCUUUGACCGGUAUGGGCCAUGAGAGUGGUGGCCCAGAGAUGGACACUGAGACAAGGGUCCAGGCCCUACGGGGCGCAGCAGGCGCGAAACCUCCUCAAUGCACUAACGUGCGAAGGGGUUACCUCGAGUGCCAUCUGAAGAAGGUGGCUUUUCCUUGGUCUAAAAAGCCUCGGGAAUAAGAGGGGGGCAAGACUGGUGUCAGCCGCCGCGGUAACACCASCCCCCCGAGUGGUGGGGAUGAUUAUUUGGCCUAAAGCGUCCGUAGCCGGCCUGAAAAGUUUCUCGUUAAAUCUAACGUCUCAAGCGUUAGACUGCGGGAAAUACUGUCUGGCUAGAGAGUGGGAGAGGUAAGCGGUAUUCUGGGGGUAGGGGCGAAAUCCUUUGAUCCCCGGAGGACCACCAGUGGCGAAGGCUGCUUACUAGAACACGUCUGACGGUCAGGGACGAAAGCUGGGGUAGCGAACCGGAUUAGAUACCCGGGUAGUCCCAGCUGUAAACGAUGCAUGCUAGGUGUUGGGUUGGCCACGAGCCACCCCAGUGCCACAGGGAAGCCGUUAAGCAUGCCGCCUGGGAAGUACGAUCGCAAGAUUGAAACUUAAAGGAAUUGGCGGGGGAGCACCACCAGGCGUGAAGCCUGCGGUUU
rnacentral:rRNA from 1 species